CGUUGUUGCUAAUGAAUGAGGUCUAAAACUUGGAAGCUCUUCUAUGCGAGAAGCUCCAGAAAAUUGAGAAGUCAAAACCCAACCAGUCAUGGUGAAAUAAGGAAUACACAUUCACCUACUUUGUGCAAGGUCAAAGAACUAGGGGAAAAGGUAUUCUGGCAAUUCCAGUGAGCCUUUCUCCCAGUAAGGAGAGCAAUGGAAAAAUCUAACUGUUCUGGGCUCCUGAAUGUCAUGCCCCAGCCUAGGGAAACACAGAAGCAGGUUUUGAGACCUAUACAGGACUAUACAGGACUCAGCAUCCUCUGGACCCUUAAGGGAGCCCGCAGUUGGGGAGCGGUGUUAUGUGGACAAAGGAAGAUCCCAAGAUAGAAAAGUCGACUGCACAGACAACUGAGCGAUGGAAACUUAAUAAAAGGCCC